ACAAUGCGAAGCGAAGCAGUGAUGUGAAGCAAAUCGCACCAAAGCCAGUCCCAGUUCGGAUAAGAGGCUGAAACUCGCCUCUUUGAAGUCGGAAUCGCUAGUAAUCGCAGAUCAGCAUGUUGCGGUGAAUACGUUCCCGGGUCUUGUACACACCGCCCGUCAAACCAUGAGAGUCACCAACACCCGAAGUCCGCCUUGGCGGCCUAAGGUGGGGGAGAUGAUUGGGGUUAAGUCGUAACAAGGUAUC
rnacentral:rRNA from 1 species